rnacentral:rRNA from 1 species
UACGUAGGGGGCAAGCGUUGUCCGGAAUCAUUGGGCGUAAAGCGCGCGUAGGCGGCCAGAUUAGUCCGGUGUGAAAGUCAGAGGCUCAACCUUUGAAUGCCGCUGGAAACUGUCUGGCUUGAGUCCGGAAGGGGCGAGUGGAAUUCCUGGUGUAGCGGUGAAAUGCGCAGAUAUCAGGAGGAACACCGGUGGCGAAGGCGGGUCUCUGGGCCGAUACUGACGCUGAGGAGCGAAAGCAUGGGGAGCGAACAGG